AUUGAACGCUGGCGGCAUGCCUUACACAUCCAAGUCGAACGGCAGCGCGGGCUUCGGCCUGGCGGCGACUGGCGAACGGGUGAGUAAUAGAACGGAACCUACCCAAGAGUCGCUGAUAACGUAGCGAAAGUGACGCUAAGACCGCAUACGAUCUGAGCAGCACAGCAGGGCGUCGUCGCACCUUGUGCCCCGGGAGCGACCGAUAUCUGAUCAGCUAGUUGCUGGGGUAAAGGCUCACCAAGGCAACGACCGGUAGCUGGUCUGUGAGGACGACCAGCCACACUGGAACUGGGACACGGUCCAGACUCCUACUGGAGGCAGCAGUGGGGAAUUUUGGACAAUGGGGGCAACCCUGAUCCAGCAAUGCCGCGUGAGUGAAGAAGGCCUUCGGGUUGUAAAGCUCUUUUGUCAGGGAAGAAAAGGUCGUGGCUAAUAUCCACGACUGCUGACGGUACCUGAAGAAUAAGCACCGGCUAACUACGUGCCAGCCGCCGCGGUAACAC
rnacentral:rRNA from 1 species